UUUACAAGGAAAGCACAGAACAUCACAAGAGCAACAUGUAGGGAAGGUGAAGUGGUUGCUGGAGGGGUGGAAAGCUGUUGGGACGGUUGGGAGGUUGGAGUUGGAUGGGGUGGUGGCGGUUGUUGGAGACAUGCAGCUUCCGCGGUUCGGGGGGGACCUGCUGCGGAGGGGCCCGGCAUGUGCCGCCUCUCCUAGAACCAAGCAGUGGUGUGCCAGUGGUGGAGGAUUUGCUCAGGGAUGUGCAGGAGGGUGACAGCGCCGGGCGCAGGUGCGGGUGGCGCUGGGUGGGAUGGGCCGCGAAGCAGAAACGGCCUAAGAAGC
rnacentral:lncRNA from 1 species